rnacentral:lncRNA from 1 species
GUAGGAUUUUAUCUAAGUAUGAAUAGGUGGAUUAAAUGCAGUGACAUACAAAGAUAUUAAAAUACUCAGUUCUUCAAAUUUAUGCUUUUUUGCAGGCAGAUGCCCAAAGUAGUCAUCUUUGCUCCUUUCUGACUGAUUGUUAUGCCUGGGAAAAUGGACAGCAGGAAGAACAAUGCCUGUUCCAGUGAGGGAUGUAUAUUUUUUAAUUAACUGCUGUCCUCAUUUGAAGAGGUCUGUCAAAGGCAGACCCUGCAAUUUCAACGUACUUCUGAUAGUUCCUUGCUGCCCUGGAAACUGCUUUUUACCGCUUACUUUGAGUAUGAAGCUGUGUCUGUAAAGAGAGAUGGA